rnacentral:tRNA from 2 species
GCCCGGAUAGCUCAGUUGGUAGAGCAAGGGAUUGAAAAUCCCUGUGUCGCUGGUUCGAAUCCGGCUCCGGGCACCA